UUUCUUGCACCCGCGCCUCUUUCAUCUUCUUAUUCUCUCCUUCUCUCUUCUGGAACCCUAAUCAUCUUUUUUUCAUAAUCAGAUCGAUCAUGUUUAUGUUUAUGUUUGUUAUAAAGAUUAAUGUUGGUUCUAAACAAUCUUUGUGCAUCAAAUCAAUUUUAGGAGCAAUAAUAACGAAUCUAAUAUCAACUCCAAUCCAAGCAGGGAUACCACUUUCUUUUUAGUUGUCUUUUAAUAAAAGGAUUAUAGUAGGGGGGGAACUGGGGUGUCUUGCAUCAACCAGUAUGUAGACUAAGUCUAAGUCAUUCGAGCCUACAAAGAAGAAUCGUACUCUUUACAUAACUCUUCGUUUCAAAUCCAAUCGUUUGGAAUACUUGGGUUGUUACCAAGAUAUUAGCGGGGAAAGAUACCUUUCGUGAAGUGGAACUGCCAUGAAAAUGACGAUGUGGGCUGAAUUGGUGAACGUAAUUAGUGAUGCCAUCAUAUCGGGAUCUAUGAACGUGCCUACUGUGGUGUUGAUUACUGGCACAAACGUGAAAGAUCACUUAGGUAAGAUUAGCCUUGGUACUACACCUCCAUCAAGAGUCUUCGCUGAUCUGGAUGUCCAGCAAGUGAAUAAAUUUAAGGCAUCGUGUCCUUGGAUAAUGCCACUUCAUUUAGCAGCUCGAGGUGGUUCAAAAAUUGCUUGCAUGUGGAGCAGAUCGAACUAAAUAAGAUGCAGCUGGGAGGCCCACGUACUGAUCUAAGGUUUGGAGUUGUAGGUAAGAUAGCGAUGCUGGUAAACAGGUAAUCUCAUCUCAUGUCUCAUUACUACCUUAAUUUUCAUGUUUUUGUUGCCUAUCAAAUUUACAACGAAGAGACUAAAUAAAACAAUGUAUCGAGAGGGUUGUAAACUUCAUUGAAAGUAUUCAAGCACAACAUGGUUCAUGGUUUCUGUCCAUUCUAACAGUAACAAGUAGUUUAGUCAUCGUAAUAGUGCAUGUCAAAAUUCGUUUGCUUGAUACAA